GACGAACGCUGGCGGCGUGCUUAACACAUGCAAGUCGAACGGAAAGGCCCUGCUUUUGUGGGGUGCUCGAGUGGCGAACGGGUGAGUAACACGUGAGUAACCUGCCCUUGACUUUGGGAUAACUUCAGGAAACUGGGGCUAAUACCGGAUAGGAGCUCCUGCUGCAUGGUGGGGGUUGGAAAGUUUCGGCGGUUGGGGAUGGACUCGCGGCUUAUCAGCUUGUUGGUGGGGUAGUGGCUUACCAAGGCUUUGACGGGUAGCCGGCCUGAGAGGGUGACCGGCCACAUUGGGACUGAGAUACGGCCCAGACUCCUACGGGAGGCAGCAGUGGGGAAUAUUGCACAAUGGGCGGAAGCCCGAUGCAGCAACGCCGCGUGCGGGAUGACGGCCUUCGGGUUGUAAACCGCUUUCGCCUGUGACGAAGCGUGAGUGACGGUAAUGGGUAAAGAAGCACCGGCUAACUACGUGCCAGCAGCCGCGGUGAUACGUAGGGUGCGAGCGUUGUCCGGAUUUAUUGGGCGUAAAGGGCUCGUAGGUGGUUGAUCGCGUCGGAAGUGUAAUCUUGGGGCUUAACCCUGAGCGUGCUUUCGAUACGGGUUGACUUGAGGAAGGUAGGGGAGAAUGGAAUUCCUGGUGGAGCGGUGGAAUGCGCAGAUAUCAGGAGGAACACCAGUGGCGAAGGCGGUUCUCUGGGCCUUUCCUGACGCUGAGGAGCGAAAGCGUGGGGAGCGAACAGGCUUAGAUACCCUGGUAGUCCACGCUGUAAACGGUGGGUACUAGGUGUGGGGUCCAUUCCACGGGUUCCGUGCCGUAGCUAACGCUUUAAGUACCCCGCCUGGGGAGUACGGCCGCAAGGCUAAAACUCAAAGGAAUUGACGGGGCCCCGCACAAGCGGCGGAGCAUGCGGAUUAAUUCGAUGCAACGCGUAGAACCUUACCUGGGUUUGACAUGGAUCGGGAGUGCUCAGAGAUGGGUGUGCCUCUUUUGGGGUCGGUUCACAGGUGGUGCAUGGCUGUCGUCAGCUCGUGUCGUGAGAUGUUGGGUUAAGUCCCGCAACGAGCGCAACCCUUGUUCACUGUUGCCAGCACGUUAUGGUGGGGACUCAGUGGAGACCGCCGGGGUCAACUCGGAGGAAGGUGGGGAUGACGUCAAGUCAUCAUGCCCCUUAUGUCCAGGGCUUCACGCAUGCUACAAUGGCUGGCAUAGAGAGUGGCGAGCCUGUGAGGGUGAGCGAAUCUCGGAAAGCCGGUCUCAGUUCGGAUUGGGGUCUGCAACUCGACCUCAUGAAGUCGGAGUCGCUAGUAAUCGCAGAUCAGCAACGCUGCGGUGAAUACGUUCCCGGG
rnacentral:rRNA from 1 species